AAAUACAGAAAAUAUAGACUUCAACACCUACUACAGAGGUCAAACUGAAGAAAAAUACAGAAAAUUCAGACUUCAACACCUACUACAGAGGUAAAACAAAAGAAAAUACAGAAAAUACAGACUUCAACACCUGCUACAGAGGUAAAACUGGAGAAAAAAUACAGAAAAUAUAGACUUCAGCAUCUACUACAGAAGUAAAACUGAAGAAAAAUACAGAAAAUACUGACUUCAACACCUACUACAGAGGUAAAACUGAAGAAAAAUAUAGAAAAUAGAGACUUCAACACCUGCUACACAGGUAAAACUGAAGAAAAACACAGAAAAUAUAGACUUCAGAGCUCAACGGUGUGGGAACAGUCCGUGGUGUCGGGGGUUUAUGUUUUUCAUCAGAUCUGUUUGGACCUGGUGGGCUUGGGUGUGUUGGACCUGCAGGGUUCUGGAACAUUUAGGACACCGUUCCUCUGUCAACACUUGGACAAACAGCUGCUUUUCUGAAGGAGUGGCCUCACAUUUCACCUCAUCUGAGAACAAUCCCAGACCGGUAGAACCUGAAACACAAGGUGGAGGACUGUCAGACGGUCCCAGUGUCCAGUAGGAUCAGGACUGUUCUGAACUACAGCAGUUCUGGUUCAGACUCUAAGUGACAGUGGAUGUUUUACAACGUGUAACCGUCAAAACCCAUCACAGUAUUGACCCAAAAUAACCAUGGGCUGAUUUCUUUUUUCCCACCAAAUACAACAGUUAAAUUAAAUAAAGGUUCAGAUGCACUGAUAAAUCACAGGGUUUUUACUUUUUACUUUCUUUAGUGUGAUGUUACAUGUCACGUUGCUAUGGAGACCAACAUGCUGAUGAUGAUGUCGCUGUGUUUUUUUU